GGGCCGGUAGCUCAGCAUGGACCUCUCUCGGAAAAGAGUGGUGCACUUAGAGCGCGUGACUGAUAAUCACGAGGUCGCCGGUUCAAAUCCGGUCCGGCCCA
rnacentral:tRNA from 1 species